GAUUUAUGGAAUUGGAUUAUUAAAAUUCACUAUGAAUACAAGCGAUGGGGCACGUAAACCUGAUUCUCAAACAACAAAUAUGUCAACUGAACCUUUGUUGGGAGCUGGAGGAGCUGUCAAUUACGCUAUAGCUUUGCAGCAAUACCAUUUUCAGCAGUCGUUAGCAAGUCAGCAGCUGUUGGCUCAACAACAGGCAGUUGCACAAGCAGUUAGCAUCAAAGCAGCAACUGAACAGGCUGCAGCUCGUGCUGCUGAAAUUAGCAGGCUUCUGAAGGGAGAGACAGGCGAUGCGCUGAAAGAGAAAAUUGAGGAACCUAGCUCCAAAAGGGAAAAGUCAGUAUCCCAUUCCCGGUCUCCAUCUCCUUCUCACUCUUCCAAAUCAAAGUCAGCAUCUCCUAUUAGGUACAGGAAUGGCCGCAAUGAAUGUGAACAGUAUUCACCAAGGGAUCGCAGAAAUUACAGGAGUCUUAGGAAUCCCAGAUAUUACAGCCGUGGUUACAAUGAUGGCAUGGACUAUUCUAGAUCUAGUUAUAGAAGAGAUGCUGAUCGCUCACGUGGCAGACAUCAUGCAUAUGGCCGUAGGAGUACAAGCCGGAGCAGGAGGAGAUCUACAUCUAGAUCCCUGUCACAGAGGUACCAUCAUGAGCCAUGUUUUCCCAGUCCCCGGCAUGUUAGACCCCCUUCUCCUGAAUCAGAUCGCAGGACACCUGACAGAAGCUUGAAUGAGCAUAGCAUGUCUAGAAAUCCCAUCAAUCACUGUAGCAUUAGUUCAAGUCCUCAGCGUUCCAGGACUAGAAGUCCAAGAAAACCAACAUCUAGGAGUCUCUCUGCAAAUAGUCAGAGCCACAGUGAUGAUGAUGGAAACAGAAGCAAAAACAAUAAUGCAUCUGGAGUUGGUCUCAAGCAUCAGGUAAAAGAAGCUAGCCCUUCUGAAGAACAAUCAAUGCAGAGCAGCCAUUCAAAUCCUUCUUGUAGAUCAGAAUUUACUUCUAUGGAUUAUUCUAUAAAGAAAACUAAAUUAGAACAAAGAUCAGAAAAAGCUGGCACUAGUGAGAUUGCCUUUGCCGAUGGAGAUCGUUCUAGUUCUACCAGUUCUGAAUCCAUGGUAGUUAGAAGACGCAGCCAAGAUCAUGUGAACCCCAAAGGCCAUUUCUCUUCUCCUGAAUAUUCUCAUUCUGAUCAUAGAGGCCGGAACAACAAAGCACACACGUUUUCUGAUAAACGUGUAACCAAAGACAAAUAUCCAAGCAAGGUACAUGCAGGUUGGAACUUGAAAUUGAAGAAUGGUUCUGAACAUAAGCUGCCACCAAAAGUAAUCAGUAGCAAGGAAGAAGAGUCGCCUUGUUCCCUUGAUACAGUGACAAAUGAAAGAAGUAUGAAGUCAGAGAUUGAUUGCAAGAAUUGUUCAGAAGAUGUGAUUACUGCAGAGGAUGCUGUGAAUGAUUGCAACAUACGAACCAAACAACAGGCCACCAGUCAUGGGGUCAAAAUAUUUGAAGAACAGCCCAAUGUUUCUGGGGGACACGUGGCCCAUCCUCUGUUGAAAUCCAAUGAAAAUAUUCAUGGGAAUUGCAUGUUACCUAACAGCCCCGAUGAGAUUAACCAUGAUCAUGAAUAUGAUACUCGAACUCCUGCAAUGCUGACAGAUGGGUCUGCAAGGAAAGAUGCUGAACCGGCUAUGGGGAGUCCAACUGUGUGCAUAUAUCCACAAGAAAGAUCCAAAAAGAGGUCAAGUUCAAGGGAAAGGAGAAAAAAACAUAGGAGAAAGAGCCACAGAAGGCAUAGAAGAGAAGACUCUGAAGAAGAUGACGAGCAUGGCAAAGACGGGAAACUAAGAAGGCAUAGGAGGAAGAAUAACAGAAAGCACCAUAGAAGUCACAAAGAAAGGAAGAGGGGGAAAAGGAAGUAUGGGGAGACGUCUCCCUCUAGCUCGUCUGAAGACUCCUCAUCGUCCGAUGAUAAUUAUGGAAAAGAGUAUGGCCAUGUUCCCAGCAAGAGAUCUACCAAUUCCAGUAAAAGGCGGCACGCACUCUCAAUCUACUACUAGUUCAAGCGACUGAUAAAUUUCUUCCAUACAGAGCUCCUUGUUGUGGAUAUGUAACGAAACAGAUGCUUCAUCUUUCGCCCAGGUUGGUUAUACAAUGAUAAAACCUUUUGGGAGUAAAAAUCUGAGUUCUACUUUGUCUGCCACAUGUGAAGUUUCUGAACUGUUUUCUGUCAAUUUUACCUUGAAUGGGCCAUAGCUUUAUUAUUUUUUAUGUGGCAAUGCCAUAUUUUUAGCUUCUAUAAUCUUGUUAUUUUUGGUAGAUCAGGGAUUCAUGAGGUGACAGUUGUAGGAAUCUACAAAAAUGCUUGUAUGCUCUUUUCUAGAAUAGUCUAAUUGUAUACAGGCAGUGGACCAUCCAUCCACUCUUGAUGACCCACGAAAAUGUCACUGAUCAGAUGGUCUGAAUAACAAAGGCAUUCUAUAACUAUCUAAAUUCAAGGCCAGCAAAUGGAUGGCUAGGUCUGUUGGCUCAAAGAAAUUCUUGAGAGAUAUAAGAAAUUCAAGGUGGGUUGGCAGGUUCCCUAAGAUGGAUUGUCUAUUUAGUGAUUAGAAUUUUUAUGCAAUAACCUAUGUGGGUUAUCCGAUUCUCAAACCAUUGAGUGCGAUUCUUUGUCGUGGUGACAUGAAUAGUUGGUUGGAGGCACCAGACUGUUUGGAUCGAUGAUGGGAAUAACAGUGUGUCCAACAUAACUCCUUUGCAUGAAAGUAUGGUGGGAAGCAUUCUGUUAAAUAUACCUAUGUUUGGAGAUAAGUGAAGGAGAAAAUUGUUUUGGAAUGUCUUAUUAAAUGGUGGCAGAUCCUCACACAAUAUGUUUUGGAGAACACAAGUGAAGUGGAAUUACUCAUGACUUGAUAUGUGCCUAGUCGUAGCAGCUAUUUAAUUGAGAAAUUUCAGAUUCUGAGUUCAAAAGAAAUUCAGUUGAUUCAUCCCAGUAGCUGGGAGCAAGUUUACAAACCAGGAAAAUUGACUUAAUCUCUAACUCAGUCCACUCAAAGGCUUGAUCUAGUAUUCACUCCACUCGACCCGUUAUUUAAUAAUUAAAUUAAAUAUAUUUAAAUAGUUACAAAUAUUUAGGGCCUGUUUGGAUUGGGAAUUACAUCAGUAAUGUACUGUAAAAGUGCCAUCAUUUACCAAACUAGCAUGAUUGUUUAAGUAGGUGAUUUGGUGAUCAAAUGCAAAUGUAUUAGGAGACAGGUAUUGUAAUUCAUAAUCAUUACAAUUUUACAUUGCAUUGCAAUGUCUCCUGUCCAAACACGCACAUCAGUAUAUUUUUUUCGAAGAUUUGACAUCGAAGUGAUGUAAAAGCGCCCUCGUUAUGAUUUUACCAAGAUAAACUAAACAUGAGAAUUGUACAUGAGUGCCUCGACUCUAGGCAUUGAGGGGGAGCUAAAGGAAUCGUAUGCAAGUUGGAUAUUGAGAAAGCUGAAGAUCACAUGGAAUGGAGUUUUCUUGAUUAUAUGAUACUUUGGAUGGGGUGUGGGAUGAAAUGGAGGAAGUGGAUACAGGAGUAUGUGGGAGCGGCACUUCUCGGUUAUUCUUAGUGGCUCCCCAAAAGGCUUUUUUAAAGGCUCUAAGGACUUUCAUCAAGGGACCCUCUCAUCUCCAUGUCUUUUUCUUAUGGUGGUCGAGGCGAUGGGGAGAAUGCUUGCUAAGGGACAGGAGGAGGACUUCAUUAGUGGGUUCAGAGUGGAGAGGCUGCCUUCUCUCAUUUCUUACUUGCAAUUUGCAGACGAUGCCCUCUUAUUUUGUGAUGUGACUCCUGAAAUGGCAGACAAGUUCAGAACUAUAGUCCCAGUGGUUCAAGGUGGUUUCAGGCCCACAGUUAAUAUUGCUAAGAGCAAGAUGUAUGGGGUGCGGAUGGAGGUGGAUGAGGUAGAGCGGUUAGCUGAUGUUUUUUGGGUGUGCAACUAGAGUGCUCCUGGCUUUGUUUGUGGGGUUGCUCUUUCUAUGGGAAAAUCAUCUAAACGCCUUUAGGAUAAAAAGUGGUGGUGGAGAGGUUCGAGAGGAGGCUUGCGAGAUAGAAAAGUUGAUAUCUUUGGCUUGGUGGCCCUAGCACGCUUAUUAAAGCGAGCCUUAUUUAACCUUCCCCUCUACUUUAUGCACUCUUUAAAUGUCCAGUUUGGGUGCUUUCCAAGCUUAAGAAGCUUCGAUGGGAUUUCUUAUGGCAUGGGGCGGAAGAUGAGAAGAAAUUCCAUCUCUAGUGAGUUGGGACAAGGCUUGCAAAUCCUAUGAAAAGGGAGGAGCUAGCAGGAUCUAAAAUCCAUGAAUGUUGUAUUUGCGUAGAAAGUGACUUUGGAGGUUUGGGAAGGAAGAAGGGGCACUUUGAAAAGAUGUAGUUAGAAGUAAAUAUGAUGCUCGGAUGGGGGUUGGUGGACAAGGGACUCAUUAGCAUAUAGAGCAUCAGCCUUGUGGAGAGGAGUUUCUUCCAUGUAGUCCCCUUUUUUGGAAGGGAAUGGUUUCUUGUUGGGGAAUGGUGUGUAAAUCUGGUUUUGAGAAGAUCCGUCUGUGGGGACCUCUUCUUUGAAUGUUGAGUUCCCUAGCAUAUUCCGCUUGGCUCCAAAUCCUUCUAUAGUGGUGGCGGAUUGCUCAUCCCACAUUGGUGGUGAUAGUUUGGGAAUCCCCUUGUAAGCAAUUUCUUCAUGACGAGGAAGUUGACGAUUUUGUGGCUCUUUUAGAUUAUAUCCAUCUAUUCGCCCAGAUACUUAUGCCACGGCAAGGUGCUUCCGAAGCCUAACCAAGUCGUCCAUCUCUUCCUCUCUUGGACUCCGCCUAGUUGUUUGGGUCCAAACUAUUUAACUGCCAAUCCUAUCACAACAGUCCACAACUUAUGCUUUUUCUGAUUCAAACUGAAACUUUUCUGGCUCUUGGACGCCAAUUCUUACAAAGCAUCUUUUAUUGGUUCUGGAAGAAAAACAAAAAACAAAAA